GGUUAGUGGAAUUUCCCCAGUUUGGGGGGGAAAAAGGGUAGAGAUGGGGGGGGGAACCCCACUGGCGGAAGGGGGAUUAAAAUUGGAUUAUAAUGACGCUGAGGAGGGAAAAGGGGGGGUAGCAAACAGGAAUAGAUACCCUGGUAGUUCCACACGUUAAAGAAGGAAUGCUAGGUGUAGGUGGUAUCGACCCCCAUCUGUGCCGCAGUAAACACAAUAACCAUUCCGCCUGGGGAGUACGGCCGCAAGGUUGAAACUCAAAGAAAUUGACGGGGGCCCGCACAAGCAGCGGAGCAUGUGGUUUAAUUUGAAGCAACGCGAAGAACCUUACCAGGUCUUGACAUCCAGUAAAAGCCAGAGAGAUUUGGUGUGCCUUCGGGCAUACUGAGACAGGUGGUGCAUGGUUGUCGUCAGCUCGUGUCGUGAGAUGUUGGGUUAAGUCCCGCAACGAGCGCAACCCCUAUUAUUAGUUACUAACAAGUAGUGUUGAGGACUCUAAUGAGACUGCCGGGGAUAACUCGGAGGAAGGUGGGGACGACGUCAAAUCAUCAUGCCCCUUAUGACCUGGGCUACACACGUGCUACAAUGGCCACUACAGAGAGCAGCGAACCCGUGAGGGCGAGCGAAUCUCAAAAAAGUGGUCUCAGUUCGGAUUGUAGGCUGCAACCCGCCUACAUGAAGUCGGAGUUGCUAGUAAUCGCGGAUCAGCACGCCGCGGUGAAUACGUUCCCGGGCCUUGUACACACCGCCCGUCA
rnacentral:rRNA from 1 species